rnacentral:rRNA from 1 species
AUGAACGCUAGCUACAGGCUUAACACAUGCAAGUCGAGGGGCAGCAUGGUCUUAGCUUGCUAAGGCCGAUGGCGACCGGCGCACGGGUGAGUAACACGUAUCCAACCUGCCGUCUACUCUUGGACAGCCUUCUGAAAGGAAGAUUAAUACAAGAUGGCAUCAUGAGUCCGCAUGUUCACAUGAUUAAAGGUAUUCCGGUAGACGAUGGGGAUGCGUUCCAUUAGAUAGUAGGCGGGGUAACGGCCCACCUAGUCUUCGAUGGAUAGGGGUUCUGAGAGGAAGGUCCCCCACAUUGGAACUGAGACACGGUCCAAACUCCUACGGGAGGCAGCAGUGAGGAAUAUUGGUCAAUGGGCGAGAGCCUGAACCAGCCAAGUAGCGUGAAGGAUGACUGCCCUAUGGGUUGUAAACUUCUUUUAUAAAGGAAUAAAGUCGGGUAUGGAUACCCGUUUGCAUGUACUUUAUGAAUAAGGAUCGGCUAACUCCGUGCCAGCAGCCGCGGUAAUACGGAGGAUCCGAGCGUUAUCCGGAUUUAUUGGGUUUAAAGGGAGCGUAGAUGGAUGUUUAAGUCAGUUGUGAAAGUUUGCGGCUCAACCGUAAAAUUGCAGUUGAUACUGGAUAUCUUGAGUGCAGUUGAGGCAGGCGGAAUUCGUGGUGUAGCGGUGAAAUGCUUAGAUAUCACGAAGAACUCCGAUUGCGAAGGCAGCCUGCUAAGCUGCAACUGACAUUGAGGCUCGAAAGUGUGGGUAUCAAACAGGAUUAGAUACCCUGGUAGUCCACACGGUAAACGAUGAAUACUCGCUGUUUGCGAUAUACUGCAAGCGGCCAAGCGAAAGCGUUAAGUAUUCCACCUGGGGAGUACGCCGGCAACGGUGAAACUCAAAGGAAUUGACGGGGGCCCGCACAAGCGGAGAAACAUGUGGUUUAAUUCGAUGAUACGCGAGGAACCUUACCCGGGCUUAAAUUGCAGAUGAAUUACGGUGAAAGCCGUAAGCCGCAAGGCAUCUGUGAAGGUGCUGCAUGGUUGUCGUCAGCUCGUGCCGUGAGGUGUCGGCUUAAGUGCCAUAACGAGCGCAACCCUUGUUGUCAGUUACUAACAGGUUCCGCUGAGGACUCUGACAAGACUGCCAUCGUAAGAUGUGAGGAAGGUGGGGAUGACGUCAAAUCAGCACGGCCCUUACGUCCGGGGCUACACACGUGUUACAAUGGGGGGUACAGAGGGCCGCUACCACGCGAGUGGAUGCCAAUCCCCAAAACCUCUCUCAGUUCGGACUGGAGUCUGCAACCCGACUCCACGAAGCUGGAUUCGCUAGUAAUCGCGCAUCAGCCACGGCGCGGUGAAUACGUUCCCGGGCCUUGUACACACCGCCCGUCAAGCCAUGGGAGCCGGGGGUACCUGAAGUGCGUAACCGCGAGGAGCGCCCUAGGGUAAAACUGGUGACUGGGGCU